AAUGAGUCUAUUGCAAGGCAGCUGGACAGGGAGAGGAAAAACAUGGCUCUGCUGAAAGCACAGAUACCCCAGAAGAGAGGGGGAACAGCCCUGCUGCAGAGGGGUGUAUGCAGCUCCCAAAUACUCACAGGACUCAUGUUUUCCUCAUCCCUAUUUCAUCUGGAGCUCAAGGAAAAAAAAAUUAAAAAAAAAAAAAGAAGAAAAAAAAAUGCCUCUUGCAAUAAAGUAGUAAUCAUUAACAGCAAGGAAUUACAGCUUUUACACAGGACAACCAUCAAAGCCUCUGCAUCAGCAUCAGACCCAGUGGAAGCUGAAAAAGCAAUGUGCACAGCAACAGGACUUGCCCAAAGCCAGGCAGUGGUACUGUGGGGAUGCUGAAAACCAACCCAGAAUCUUGCAAGUUUCAUUUUGUCCCCUGCAUCUCAUGCUUUCUUCCUUAUUACAUAUGCCCUCUCCUUUCCAUUUUCCAAGGAAAGCAGCAUAACCAACUUUCCUUUGCACCUUGUGAGUGCACAGAUGCCCCCCUUUGGCAGCACUUCACUGGACAGCCACCCUUGGCUUCAUGACACUUCAGACACCAGAGACCAGGCUACAGCUGAAGUAGGAUUACCUGCUCUGGAAAACCCAGAUGGGUCCAGCAUGCCAGUCACUGAGUGUGUACCAUCCCUGUCCUGCAUCAGCUCAGAGCAGGAGCACCAGCUCAGCUCUGGCUGUGCCCACAUUUGGGCAAAAUGUAACACCCUGACUGUGAACAGUGCAGAACUUGUGGUCUCUAGAGAUCCUCUGAAACCUCCUCAGAAACAUCAGUGCCAGCUCCGGCCUGGUUUACUGUUCAGAUCCUGCCCAUCCAAAUUCCCCCUACCAUCCAAAUUCCCCCUUGCCCCACUCCAUGCACCACUCCACUAUUCUGGACACAGCUCAACUCCCGCCCAGGGCUGACACAACCCUGGCACAUGGAUGAUGCCACCAAAACACUCUGGGAUCCUGCACUGCUAUGAGCAGGAUGGAGAGGGAAGCAUACAAUGAGGCAGACCCCUCACAGCUCUGUCACCCCAGGAGAGCAGCAGCUGAGCUGGUAAUAGCCUUGAGGGCAGCAGGGAGGGGGAGACACACCUGGAACAGGUCAAAAAAUAUCUCUUGUUAUGGCUCUGUUUGCACUUGUCAGAUCCCAUCCAGCCCUCACUUGUGAAAUAACUUCCUUGAAUAUUGUGUCUGUCACCAAUCAGAGUAGGAAAACUUUUCCAGCUGUUUUUACUGUUGCUCUGACUUUAGUUCAUAUGGGGUCAGAAUGUGCAACCUUCUUUGUACAGCUGUGUCACCAACACAGCACCGUGGGACUGGGAUUGGGCUAAAUAUUCCCUCAAAGUCAUGGAAUAUCUCAAGUCGGGAGAGACCCACAAGGAUCAUGGAGUACCAUCCCUGUCCUUGCAUAGACACCUCAACAAUCCCACACUGUGCCUAAGAGUGUUGUCCAAAGGCUCCUGGAGCUCUGGCAGCCUUGGGGCCAUGCCCAUUCCCUGGGGAGCCUGGGCAGUGCCCAGCACCCUCCAGGUGAAGAACCUUCUUCUAAUAUCCAUCUAAACCAUUCCUGAAAGAGCUCCAGCCAUUCCCUCUGGUGGUCCCAAGGGGGGAAUCUUUCCAGAGUCUCCCUGCUCAGCAGGAAUCAGCAUAAUUCUCCUGGAUAACUCCUAGCACUAAGUAUUUUGGAAACAAGCCUGUCCAGCCUGCAGCCCAGCUAUUCCCAGCUGACUGUCCUGGAGCCACUCACCAGAACCUGGCAUGUCCCAGGAAUCAAUUCCCAACUGCUGAAAUGCAUUAAAAGAACUAAAAAUACAGAAAUCUUCCCUACUUUUUUUCCAGCUCCAGCUGCUGGGGCUGCCAAGGAACAUGUUAUUCAGUCCAAGAUAAGUUGGAGUGGGUGUGUGAGAUCACACAAUAACGAAGCAUUCCUAACAUGGGAUCUAUAUUAAGAUGUAAUCCAUGCACUUAAGAAAAAAUAAUUAUAACAAGCAUUUUCCAAUGCUGUGUCAGCCAUAGGCCACAGAAAGAAACACUCCCAAAAUAGUUCUCCUGCUGAAAUGCAAACCAAACCCAGCUCUUUGGGGAUAAACCCAAACUUUAAACCCAGCUGAGUUGUCUCACCCCUGGAAAUGUCCAAGGCCAGGUUGGACAGGGCUUGGAGCAACCUGGUCUAGUGGAAGGUGUCCCUGCCCAUGACAAGGGGAUAGAACUGGAUGAUCUUCAAGAUCCCUUCCAACCCAAACUAUUCCAUGAUUCUACAAUUCUGUGUUUUUUCUUUCCCAUCCUCAUUAUUCAUUGCUGGCACUAGUUAUUUCGUUAAUAACUCACCCACAUCAACCAGCCCACCUGGUUUUACCUUCUCUUCACAGCAGCUUCCCUUCCUCAUUGUAUCACAGCUGCUUUUCAGCAGGAGAACAUCUGGAUUCAGAUCUCUGUUGUAUCACAGACCAGCUGGUGACCCUGCACCCACCCAUGCUGUACCUCAGCUUCUCCAGCCAUCAGCUCAAAAGUCCAAUUUAUCAUGAUUUUCAAGACCCUUGAAAUACUCCCAGAUGCUCCCACCAGUGGGCUCAGAUGUGUCUCCCUCCGUUACCCAGGAGGUGGUGGGGCUCCUGUUUGCUGGUUUUAUUGCUGAGCAAAGUCAGCCCAAGCUAUUUAUAAUUCCUGCUGCUUUCCAAGGCCUGGAAGAGGAGGGAAUGAGCGGGAAUGGGAUUUGGCUCACAUACAUCCAACAGCCAGAGCACUGAAAAACUGCCUUGCCAGGGAGGCUCUUAAGUGGGAAAAAGUCAAUGUUCAACCAAUUUCCUUGAGCCCUCCAUUACUGAAUUUUAUUUCAGGGAGGCUGAAUAGUGGAUUAUAUUGGUUUUGCAUGGAGCACCCUUUACCCUGCAUUCUUUCCAAGGGCUGCUUCUCAUUCUUCUGCCCAAAGAACUACCCUAAAACUGCCCCAAAGAACUCCACAAACUGUUCCCAAGAACUGCCAGGAUUUGAAUUCAGGGUUUUGUUGCAGACCCAAAGGUAACACAGAGCCCAACAUUUCCACAUAACCUGCCACUGACCUGGGUCCAGAGAGAUUCAACUCAGAGAAUAUUUAAUUUUCUUCCAUCUGUGCCACUGUCAAGUAAGAAACAACACAGACUCACCAGAAGGCUGGUUUGCACAGCACCUCACUUUACUUUGAAUUCUCUCUUUUUAUACACUGUUCCGAUACAGAUAGAUCAGAUUGGUCAAUAAUCAAUACAUUUGACCUGCUUGUUUAUAAGAAAGGUGUUCUGUUAAUUAGCCAAUCUUUGAGAAAAACAGGGAAACAGAGAGUAGGAAAACACCACCUGCAGGUUGUUUAUAAUAAUAAGCUAUCAUUGUUUAUCUUCAACUCCCUAAAGUCUCACAAGCCCAUUCUGGGAAAGCUUAUCUAGUUUUCUCACUCUCUGACCUGGCUGUCACAUCCACGCCUCUGCAGAAAGGGUUGCCCCAAAACUCACUUCUGCCUUCACUGGGCACGCUCCUGACUUCAAGUUCAUGACAAUCUUGACCUGGCUUUUGUUGAGGUUUGCAGAGCAUUUCUGUGAACUCUGAGAGCAGCAGAACAGAACCAGAGAUCAAGGCCAUGGAUUUAAGAAGGUUCUAAAGCCUGGAAUGUUGGCUCUCCUUGCUCCUGGCUUUUCUGACAGCUCUUGCAUCCAUCACAAACACUGUGCGUGAAGCUGUGGGACCUCCAGGACCCCUGAGUGAUGGCCAAGCCACGUCAGAAGUGCCAACACCCAGACCAGAGGAUUCCUCUGCUCCACUCGAUCCUGUUCACCACCUCUGACUCCCCAGAGCUGUCUGCUCAGCUGACAAGCCAGAACAAUCUCCCUCCCAACUGCCAGAACCAAACCCAGUUACCUGCAGACCAGGACCAAUUUCUGUCUUCCAGGAGUAGGAGGAAACAAAACCCAUUCCCAUGUGCCAGGAGCUCUGAGACCCGUGGAUGACACACGUUACACGGGGCAGCCCUCAGCGAGGUUAACUUACCCAGGACGUUUGCACCACUCUGCUCCCAGCCCAGCUUCCCUCGGAAACUCAGGAGCAGGUGGCAGCCGGGAAGAGUCUCUCACCCAAAGCCCUCGCAUGCAUCGAAGCAACAAGCUGCAGUGCCCAGGCAGAGCUGCUGCAGGGCCGUACGUACCAAGCCAGGGGCAAGGAGGAGUAGGAACAGGGUCCAGGUCACUGUCCCCAAGUUGCCAGGCAUCCCGAGUACUGCGAAGGGCAAGGAUCCAGGCUGCUGGCUACUCCCUCCCUCCCUCCCUCCCUCUCCUUCGGAAUUUCCCGUCUCUCUGGAGCAAGUUGGACAUGAGCUUCUCUUUAAAUAUCCUCUGGAAGGGGCGGGCCCCGCGCUGAGUGACAGGCUGGAACCGAGCCCAAAAGGGUGCAACAAAAAAUGUCCAAAUUCCAGGGAACACGAGCGGGUUCCUGCGGCUCCGGAGGUUACGGGGCUGCCACCGCAGCCUGCAGCUUGGUUACUUUCCAGGUUCAGAGCCCUGUGCUGAGCAGGCAGGUGUAAUUCUAAAAGCAACACCACUCCACGGAAAACCCAGGAGCUUUGGGGCUUCCAAACAAUCAAAACCAGUCAGGGAGGUCUAAGUUCUUCACUCUGAACCAGCUUCAGCAUUGGUGGCCCCAUUAACCUCCCUGCCACACAAAAGAACAAAUUAUUAAUUUUUCUGGAUGCCUUUGAUAUGGACACUAAUUCUCUUCCAUCAAAGCCAAAGAAUUCCUGGAAAACCACUUCAGAGGAUUUGAAAUUAUCUCAAUAUAUCUUCAAUACAAAGAACAUUGAAAUAGGAGAAAACAGGUUGAAAUUUAAAAAUCAAAAAUCCCACACAAAACCUUUGUUGAAAAGCCCAAGCGUCUGAAAACUUGUUGAGCUUUUAGCCUGAAAAAAGAGGGGAAUUCUACCCUCCCUUCAGUUUUUCAGCAUUCACUAAGACAAGAGCGAGAUCACUGUAUUCCUCUCCCAGAGCCUGAUGGAAACCUUGCAAGCAGAAAUAAGGAAACUACAAUUUACUUCUGGAACCUCCAGCCAAAGAGCUCAAACAGCAAGGCUUUAUCCCUUUAAACUUUAGAGAAAAGUUUUCAAGAUUCCCACCCUGAUUCCCUGAUCCAUGUUUGUUGGAAUCAAAGAAGCAAUGUAAAUGUUAGACUGAUUUCUGUUUGUUUGUUUUUUUUUCAGUGACAAACCACCUCUAAGAAAGCAGCUCUUGAUAAACUAGACUGUUGGAAAUCAAGAAAAUAUUCAAGUGUCUCUCUGUUCACUGAAGUAGUCCAUUCAGCUGGCCUCUUUGGAGCACAACAUUCCCCCACUGGCCCCCAAAAUGGGUAGUGCUCCAUCAAAUCCAGAGAAUUUCAGGGAUUUAUUGCAUUUUCUCUGCCCAGAUAAUCUUAUAUCAGCCUUUCAAACUUUAUAUACCCUGCAGUGUGCAAA